rnacentral:rRNA from 1 species
UGGGGAAUAUUGGACAAUGGGCGCAAGCCUGAUCCAGCAAUGCCGCGUGUGUGAAGAAGGCCUUCGGGUUGUAAAGCACUUUUAUCAGGAGCGAAACGCUGUCGGCUAAUACCCGGCGGAACUGACGGUACCUGAGGAAUAAGCACCGGCUAACUUCGUGCCAGCAGCCGCGGUAAUACGAAGGGUGCAAGCGUUAAUCGGAAUUACUGGGCGUAAAGCGUGCGUAGGCGGUUUCUUAAGUCUGCUGUGAAAUCCCCGGGCUCAACCUGGGAAUGGCAGUGGAUACUGGGAGGCUAGAGUGUGUCAGAGGGUGGUGGAAUUCCCGGUGUAGCGGUGAAAUGCGUAGAGAUCGGGAGGAACAUCAGUGGCGAAGGCGGCCACCUGGGACAACACUGACGCUGAGGCACGAAAGCGUGGGGAGCAAACAGUUAGAUACCCUGGUAGUCCACGCCCUAAAACGAUGCGAACUGGAUGUUGGUCUCAACUCGGAGAUCAGUGUCGAAGCUAACGCGUUAAGUUCGCCGCCUGGGGAGUACGGUCGCAGGACUGAAACUUAAAGGAAUUGACGGGGUCAUAGCUGUUUCC